rnacentral:lncRNA from 1 species
GCAAUUCAGAGGUCAUGAGUUCGAUUCAUGGGGCUCUUGGAAGGCAAGGCUUUCUCCUAGAAGGCAAGAUAAUUUCUGGAAGGCAGGAGUUCCUUGGAAGGCAAGACGCAUACAUGAGUUUGACUCGCUCGGCACUUUGGCAGUUAAGUUGGGGGGGCUCUUGGACCCUGACCAGUUUGGGGCAUAACCCGCGAUUUACCUGAUCUGCGUGAAAAGGGGCUGGAUCGUAGACCUCAGGAUUAGUCACUGUAAGGUGGACACCUGGGUAUAAAAAAAAAAAAAAUAGUUCAUUC